rnacentral:rRNA from 1 species
AUUGAACGCUGGCGGCAGGCCUAACACAUGCAAGUCGAGCGGAGCGGCGGACGGGCGAGUAAUGCAUAGGAAUCUGCCUGGCAGCUGGGGAUAACGAACGGCAAGGAGCGCUAACAACGCAUACUAUCAGACGAGCCUAGGCUGGAUGAGUUAGUUGGUGGGUUAAAGGCCUACCAAGGCGACGAACCGUAGCUGGUCUGAGAGGAUGAUCAGUCACACUGGAACUGAGACACGGUCCAGACUCCUACGGGAGGCAGCAGUGGGGAAUAUUGCACAAUGGGCGCAAGCCUGAUGCAGCCAUGCCGCGUGUGUGAAGAAGGUCUUCGGGUUGUAAAGCACUUUCAGUUGGGAGGCGUUACCAACAGAAGAAGCACCGGCUAACUCCGUGCCAGCAGCCGCGGUAAUAC